rnacentral:rRNA from 1 species
UGAGGAAUUUUCCGCAAUGGGCGAAAGCCUGACGGAGCAAUACCGCGUGGAGGAAGACGGCCUUUGGGUUGUAAACUCCUUUUCUCAAAGAAGAAGAAAUGACGGUAUUUGAGGAAUAAGCAUCGGCUAAUUCCGUGCCAGCAGCCGCGGUAAUACGGGAGAUGCGAGCGUUAUCCGGAAUUAUUGGGCGUAAAGAGUUUGUAGGUGGUCUAGUGUGUUUAAUGUUAAAAACUAGAGCUUAACUUUGGGAGUGCAUUAAAAACUGCUAGACUUGAGUAUGGUAGAGGUGAAGGGAAUUUCCAGUGUAGCGGUGAAAUGCGUAGAGAUUGGAAAGAACACCAAUGGCGAAGGCACUUUUCUAGGCCAAUACUGACACUGAGAAACGAAAGCUGAGGGAGCA